rnacentral:pre_miRNA from 1 species
ACUGAUGUGAUUGUAUAGGGCUCACAUCUCACUGAGCCCUAUACAAUCACAUCAGUUA